AGAGCAUUGAGAGGAGCUUUCCCUAGUACGAGAGGACUGGGAUGGACACACGUCUGGUGUACCAGUUAUCGUUCCUACGGUAAACAUUGUGUAGCCAAGUGUGGAGAGGAUAACUACUGAAAGCAUAUAAGUAGUAAGCCCACCCCAAGAUGAGUGCUUU
rnacentral:ncRNA from 1 species